GUAGGAAUGAAACUGAGUUCAGGACAGGGAGGUGAUAGGAAACUGAGGGAUUCUGGAACUCUAGGUCUCAGUGACAUGUAAUGUAAGGCAUGAGAGAUGUAGAAGAGAAGAAAAGUAAAAUGUUGGAGUCGAUUUUUUCGAGGUGGUGUGGUUUGGGGCAAUAACAAAGGGUCAGGAGUGGAGUAAAGGAUUAUUAUAGAAACUCUAACAUCUUUAUAAAUGUUGAAAACUUCUAAAGCUGUAAUGUAAAUUUGGGUAGAGAGGAAGAUUAUGAUACUACCUUUCACAAAUAAGGAGGUAUAUAAUUGAAGAUCUGUGAACAAAAAGCAGUAGAGAGUGGAAUAAAUAAAUGUCACUUUUCUUCUUCAGGUUCCAGCUUUUUGAACAUAGGUUGAAGUUAGAUUUGUCUUGUUGAAAGACAGGAAUUAACUGGGUUUGUUUAUUAUUUAUUCCUCCUGACUGGAUAAGGUUGGAAAGCUUGGGGUCAAUUUGUCAUAAUCUCUGUGCUUAUCUUUUUCUACUGUAUAGAGAUUUGUUGGGGGAUGAGUGAUAGUUCUUUCACAGCAAAAAAGUACAAGCCUUGCUGUCUUCUCCAUAUUUUUCUCAGCCGACAUACUGAGUGUUGGUGAUUUUCAUGUGUUAAUGUAAAGCAAAUUAGAUGGGUUGUUAGUUGUUAUUUGUGGUUCUCAUUUGAUACUAGAACUUCUGUUGCGUAAUAGGUACAAUAACUGACAAAUUAUUGAGUAAAUUAAUAUAUCACCAUGAAUUGCCUCAAUUUUAUUUUAUCAGUGAACUAGAUUAGAUUAUCUCAUAGUAGUCAACAUAAGAAGUUUUUAUGCAUUUAUAUAUAUGCAUACAGUAUACAAUAAAAUAUUUUAUUUUUCUGUGUAAAUUUUUGUAAAUCUGGUAAUUU
rnacentral:lncRNA from 1 species